UUGAAAACCUGUACAGCUAUACCUAGUCAUAUAAGCAGUGAAUUUUGAUGUUAUCAACUAAUAAGAUUUGUCUCACAUGCUCACAUUAGAACCAUCACCGACAUUUGACAAAAAGUACAAAACUAACAACAUAAGGCCGCAAAGCUACAGCUAGAAGGUACUAAACUCCAAGAGGUCAUUAGUGUUGUUUGAUUGAAUGAGAUGGAAUGACUCGACGACUUAUAGUAAGAUAUCAGACAUUCAUUGGAACAGAAUGCAUUUAGCACAUGACACGUUUCUUCUCCUUUAAAUACGCGGUACAUCACUGCGACAAAUUGAUUGGUAGACAUCAAUGUUCCAUUUACUUUUUAAGUUUCAAACAAACAAUAUACUAACAGUAUUAAUUUAGAUUCAUGCGAUAUACUAAACUACUUCUUAUUGAGACAAUUUUUGGUCAUCAACUGCAUGACUUUAAGCAAAAUUUGUCCCCAGAACAUACAAAAUGCAAGCAGACAAAGGGAAAGCGUUAGUAUACAAACACACUAUUGACAAUUAAUAUGAUUAUAUAUUUCAUCUAUGUGCUUUUUAGAAAUAGAAUAACAAUCUUACAUGGAUAAGAUCACAUUUUUCAACUGUUUAUUCUAAUCUUCCACAAUUAUCAAACACCGUGGCAUACUGAAAUCAGAUUUCAUCCUAUCCAUAACUAACAUUCAAGGGGAACAAGACAAUAAAAAAUAGGGGAAAAAAUGAUCAAGAUAACAAUCUAUAGCAAAAUACACAAAGAUUAAAAUUAGUGACUUAUACACUGUAUAAAAAUCAUUUAACAGCUCAUUAUACUUUCCAUGUUCUCAAAACAACAAAAUUGACGAAUUUAAUAAUUCAUAAUUCACUUUAUUUUACCUCAUUUUUUUUCUUUUUUCAUAUUCAAAUCAUUUACAGAAAUGAAAUGGGGAUUACUCGUUUUAGCUCCUCUAUACUUCGCUUUCUCUUCACUCACCCAAAAAAUUAAUUAAUUAAUUAAUUAAAGCACUCGUCUGUUCGUUUUCAGAUCUCAAGCAAGUAUUUAAGAAAGAGGAUACAAAACUGUAAUUGAUCUCAACAAAAAUGUGAAUUCUUUUAUUCGUCACAAAAAUUAUAGUAAAAAAAUUAAUUCGUCCUAAAUUAAAUUUAAAAAAAAAAAAUCACAGGACGAGCAAACUAAGAUGAAAAAUCCGUACCUGGAGAGUCAGUAAAGAGUAAAACGGCUGCUUCAAUGGCGAUAUAUAUUCGUAUAUUUUGUUGUAAUUACGACUGUGCUACGUAUAAAUAUAUACAUACAUAUGUAUAUGUGUAUAUGGUAUGUACGAUAAAGAGAGCAAAUAAACUGAGAAUCCCUUGUAAUUACUUUACCAAUUUACUUUGUUUACAUUCUUCCAAUAAUUAUACAUUGAAGUGCAAUCGACAAUCUAUGUGUAUUAUUUUUCACUCUCUCCCUCUCUCUCCUCUCUCUCCUUUGUAUAUGUAAACGUAUACAUUAUUAUAUACAUAUAUAUGCGCUGGUGCGAAGGUGUUUGUUAUUUUUCCUUCAAUGUUUU
rnacentral:lncRNA from 1 species